CAAGUACUCCCUCCGUCCGGAAUUACUUGUCAUCAAAAUGGAUGUGUCUAGAACUAAAAUACAUCCAGAUACAUCCAUUUCAAUGACAAGUAUUUUCGGACGGAAGGAGUACAAG
rnacentral:pre_miRNA from 1 species